AGAGUUUGAUCAUGGCUCAGAUUGAACGCUGGCGGCAGGCCUAACACAUGCAAGUCGAGCGUGAAAGUCCUUCGGGAUGAGUAAAGCGGCGGACGGGUGAGUAACGCGUAGGAAUCUACCUGAUAGUGGGGGAUAACGUUUCGAAAGGAACGCUAAUACCGCAUACGUUCUGAGGAAGAAAGCAGGGGCUCGCAAGACCUUGCGCUAUCAGAUGAGCCUGCGUCCGAUUAGCUAGUUGGUGGGUAAAGGCCUACCAAGGCGACGAUCGGUAACUGGUCUGAGAGGAUGAUCAGUCACACUGGAACUGAGACACGGUCCAGACUCCUACGGGAGGCAGCAGUGGGGAAUAUUGGACAAUGGGGGCAACCCUGAUCCAGCCAUGCCGCGUGUGUGAAGAAGGCCUUCGGGUUGUAAAGCACUUUAAGCGGGGAGGAAGGCUCUAUGGCUAAUAUCCAUGGGGAUUGACGGUACCUGAAGAAUAAGCACCGGCUAACUACGUG
rnacentral:rRNA from 1 species